GGAAGUAAAAGUCGUAACAAGGUCUCCGUUGGUGUACCUGCGGAGGGAUCAUUACAGAGUUAUCCAACUCCCAAACCCAUGUGAACAUAUCUCUUUGUUGCCUCGGCGCAAGCUACCCGGGACCUCGCGCCCCGGGCGGCCCGCCGGCGGACAAACCAAACUCUGUUAUCUUCGUUGAUUAUCUGAGUGUCUUAUUUAAUAAGUCAAAACUUUCAACAACGGAUCUCUUGGUUCUGGCAUCGAUGAAGAACGCAGCGAAAUGCGAUAAGUAAUGUGAAUUGCAGAAUUCAGUGAAUCAUCGAAUCUUUGAACGCACAUUGCGCCCAUUAGUAUUCUAGUGGGCAUGCCUGUUCGAGCGUCAUUUCAACCCCUAAGCACAGCUUAUUGUUGGGCGUCUACGUCUGUAGUGCCUCAAAGACAUUGGCGGAGCGGCAGCAGUCCUCUGAGCGUAGUAAUUCUUUAUCUCGCUUCUGUUAGGCGCUGCCCCCCCGGCCGUAAAACCCCCAAUUUUUUCUGGUUGACCUCGGAUCAGGUAGGAAUACCCGCUGAACUUAAGCAUAUCAAUAAGCGGAGGA
rnacentral:rRNA from 1 species